rnacentral:rRNA from 1 species
GAUGAACGCUGGCGGCGUGCCUAAUACAUGCAAGUCGAGCGAACGGACGAGAAGCUUGCUUCUCUGAUGUUAGCGGCGGACGGGUGAGUAACACGUGGAUAACCUACCUAUAAGACUGGGAUAACUUCGGGAAACCGUAGCUAAUACCGGAUAAUAUUUUGAACCGCAUGGUUCAAAAGUGAAAGACGGUCUUGCUGUCACUUAUAGAUGGAUCCGCGCUGCAUUAGCUAGUUGGUAAGGUAACGGCUUACCAAGGCAACGAUGCAUAGCCGACCUGAGAGGGUGAACGGCCACACUGGAACUGAGACACGGUCCAGACUCCUAAGGGAGGCAGCAGUAGGGAAUCUUCCGCAAUGGGCGGAAGCCUGACGGAGCAACGCCGCGUGAGUGAUGAAGGUCUUCGGAUCGUAAAACUCUGUUAUUAGGGAAGAACAUAUGUGUAAGUAACUGUGCACAUCUUGACGGUACCUAAUCAGAAAGCCACGGCUAACUACGUG